UUCACUAAAAUCUUUUACUGAGCUGGAAAUCAGCAGUUUAUAAAGAACAGAAAUAAGAAUCCUUCAAUAUGUUUGAAUUUCAAACAUACUGAAAACUGACAAAUACAAGGAGGCCUACCAAACAAAGGCAAGGAUAUCGCAACUAGUUCAAAUUGUCUUCACUAGUGCCUUCGGGCAUCUAGUACACGGCUUCCAUGCAGAAGAGGAACUGAAAUGCAGCAAGAACAGAAAAGGGCAGACUGGUCAGAGAACUACUGCAUUGACCCAAGUAACCACAGCAGCAUGAACUAAUCAAUAAGACCAUAAAGCAGGAAGGAGAGAGAUCUAUAUUACAUACACAUGAAUUAGGAUAAAAUUUUCUUCAUAUAGUUAUGCAAGUUAGUCAUUAUCUGUAAGUUUCCUAUACUGUUGAAAAAGUUCCCCAACAUCAGCCUGAUUUUGGAGUUCCCUUAGGAAAUUCAAGUUCAGUUACAUCAUCCUUUAGUGAACUGAGACU